rnacentral:lncRNA from 1 species
ACAGGUAGUUUCAGAAUCAUUUCACCUGCUGCUGAUCUGAACCAGGAACCAGACCCUGGAGUAGGACUGUGUGCUGGUACUGGUUGGCUGCAGAUCUACUGGGAUCUUAGCACAGACAGAGAGCUAGUAGCAUAGGUUGCCUUCAGUCCUGCGUGGAUGCCCCCAGCCAAGAUGGAGGACUGGCUCUCUUUGGAGGCCCUGUCCCAGGUUGUUCUCACGAACUGUUUGCUUAUUGGGGCGUGAGGCACCUCCAUGUUUUCACGGGCCGCCAUGACCCUGAUUCUCGACACCUGGCAGCAGAGGGAAGGCUGUUUCCAUCUGCGUGAAGCCCCUGGCAGUGGAGCAGCGCAGGCCGCGGGCUGAGGUGCGCUUUAGGAGCUGCGAGGGCAGAGCCGGGGGUCAGCGGAGCCGGGGGCAGGAGAGAAAAAAAAGUUUUUCAGAGGAAGGGCUGAAAAUAGCAGCUCUAAAGCGGUAACCACAGGACGCCUCCCCCUGCUAUGCUUAACGAGCGGGAGGGAAAAAAAAAAAAAGAAAAAAAAGAAAAAAAAGAAAAAAAAAAGAAAAAAAGGUGUUAUUUCGAUGCUGUUUUUAUUAAAUAGAGGUCCUUCGAUGAGUUCACUCCCGGGGCUCCGCGAGCUGCCUCGCAGCGGGCGGGAGGCUGACGACCACCUGCCUGCCCCAGCGGCCGGGAGCGAGAAGGGUUAAGGAACUUGGCGGAGGAGAUGAAUGGCGCGGGGGGAGGAGGGAGGAAGAGGAGGGGCCGGGCUGCGCCGCGCCGCGCCGGGCGAGGUGGAAGGCGGGGAGGAUCGCGGCUGCGGGUUAGGCUUUGAAAGUCAGCCUCGCAGGCAUUGCAGCAGAGCCCCGAACCGCGGAGGGGAGCGGCGCAGAGCUCGGCUCGCUGUAUGAAGCAUGGAAUUGCUGAGGGAGAAAAUUAGUGCAUCCUUGGACUCCUGAAGGAAGAGCCUUCCUUAUGGGACCACUUUCAAGCAAGCCUGCCUCCUCCAGCCUCCCUGCUGACAAAUGGUGGUGGAUUAUAGAUGAGGACACGCUGACCCGUUCGACCUUGCUGAGACAGCGGGGAGGGGCCUCCUGCUACUUGAGGGAAGCUUUGGGUCAUUUAAAGGACAAGGUCAUGAGCCAGGUGGGGAAAUGACAUGAUAUCACAUGACAAUAGCCUGAUGACACGGUCAGUAUGUCAAGGACAAACUCAUCAGUAUUGAUUAUGCUGCUUUUUCAUAGCAUAUCUGUGAAGCCAUUGAUAUUUCAAAACUAUUUUGCUAAUUUAUUCUAGGUAAAGUGCCAAACGCUAUUUUCAGGGUUAUUUUUAGGAGUAUUUGUACAGUAUUUUCUUCUAAGUACUGAUCACAUACGAAAGCAGUUACUAAAACCCUGUCAAUAAUAAUUUAGAGGAUUCAUUUUGGUGGUUUUCAUAAAAUGUGUAUCUGCAGGGACUAUGAGGAAAAUACUGAGAAGGAAGAAAAUCUCUGCUUUUAAAUUUCAGCAUUCCACUUUUGAUUCCUACUUAGUAGGCACAGUAAUGAUCUUUGUGAUAACAUGCGUGUUCACUUGUAUGUGGCUGACUGGAAUGUGGGGAGCCUUUAAAUGAAAAGAACCAAAGAGAGAAGUGAAAUAUAAAUUGGAUGUUUAAAGAAAAACUCUUCCAUUGGCUCAGGAAUGAUACAGUGAAGAUAAUGCUUAGCCUAUUUUAAGCUAUGCCAGCCAAUAAAAACCUGCUAAGUGGGUUUUAGAAAAUAUGU